UACGUAGGGUGCAAGCGUUGUCCGGAAUUAUUGGGCGUAAAGAGCUUGUAGGCGGUCUGUCGCGUCUGCUGUGAAAAUCCGGGGCUCAACCCCCGGACCUGCAGUGGGUACGGGCAGACUAGAGUGUGGUAGGGGAGACUGGAAUUCCUGGUGUAGCGGUGAAAUGCGCAGAUAUCAGGAGGAACACCGAUGGCGAAGGCAGGUCUCUGGGCCAUAACUGACGCUGAGAAGCGAAAGCAUGGGGAGCGAACAGG
rnacentral:rRNA from 1 species